AGAGUUUGAUUAUGGCUCAGGACGAACGCUGGCGGCGUGCCUAACACAUGCAAGUCGAGCGAAGUAUAGUGAAGUUUUCGGACAGAACGAUACUUAGCGGCGGACGGGUGAGUAACGCGUGAGCAACCUGCCUUUCACAAAGGGAUAGCCUCGGGAAACUGGGAUUAAUACCAUAUAAAACUUACCUUUCGCAUGGAAGGAAAGUCAAAGCGAUAAGUGGUGAAAGAUGGGCUCGCGUCCUAUUAGCUAGUUGGUGAGGUAACGGCUCACCAAGGCGACGAUAGGUAGCCGGCCUGAGAGGGUGAACGGCCACACUGGAACUGAGACACGGUCCAGACUCCUACGGGAGGCAGCAGUGGGGGAUAUUGCACAAUGGAGGAAACUCUGAUGCAGCGACGCCGCGUGAGUGAAGAAGGCCUUCGGGUCGUAAAGCUCUGUCCUAGGGGAAGAUAAUGACGGUACCCUAGGAGGAAGCCCCGGCUAACUACGUGCCAGCAGCCGCGGUAAUACGUAGGGGGCGAGCGUUGUCCGGAAUUACUGGGCGUAAAGAGUUCGUAGGCGGUUUGAUAAGUCAGAUGUGAAAGGCGUAGGCUCAACCUAUGUAAGCAUAUGAAACUGUCAGACUUGAGGUAAGGAGAGGAAAGUGGAAUUCCUAGUGUAGCGGUGAAAUGCGUAGAUAUUAGGAGGAAUACCAGUGGCGAAGGCGACUUUCUGGACUUAAACUGACGCUGAGGAACGAAAGCGUGGGGAGCAAACAGGAUUAGAUACCCUGGUAGUCCACGCCGUAAACGAUGAGUGCUAGGUGUCGGUUAGAAAUAAUCGGUGCCGCAGCUAACGCAAUAAGCACUCCGCCUGGGGAGUACGUACGCAAGUAUGAAACUCAAAGGAAUUGACGGGGACCCGCACAAGCAGCGGAGCAUGUGGUUUAAUUCGAAGCAACGCGAAGAACCUUACCAGGGCUUGACAUGCUCUGACGUUACUAGAGAUAGUAAUUUACCCUUCGGUACAGAGACACAGGUGGUGCAUGGUUGUCGUCAGCUCGUGUCGUGAGAUGUUGGGUUAAGUCCCGCAACGAGCGCAACCCUUGUAUUUAGUUGCCAGCAUUAAGUUGGGCACUCUAGAUAGACUGCCGUGGACAACACGGAGGAAGGUGAGGAUGACGUCAAAUCAUCAUGCCCUUUAUGUCCUGGGCUACACACGUGCUACAAUGGUCGGUACAACGAGCAGCAAACUAGUGAUAGCAAGCGAAUCUCUAAAAGCCGAUCCCAGUUCGGAUUGUAGGCUGCAACUCGCCUACAUGAAGUCGGAGUUGCUAGUAAUCGCGAAUCAGCAUGUCGCGGUGAAUGCGUUCCCGGGUCUUGUACACACC
rnacentral:rRNA from 1 species